rnacentral:rRNA from 1 species
UACGUAGGGGGCUAGCGUUGUUCGGAUUCAUUGGGCGUAAAGGGUGCGUAGGCGGCGCGGUAAGUCGGGUGUGAAAUCUCGGGGCUUAACUCCGAAACUGCAUUCGAUACUGCCGUGCUUGAGGACUGGAGAGGAGACUGGAAUUUACGGUGUAGCGGUGAAAUGCGUAGAUAUCGUAAGGAAGACCAGUGGCGAAGGCGGGUCUCUGGACAGUUCCUGACGCUGAGGCACGAAGGCCAGGGGAGCAAACGGG